AUUGAACGCUGGCGGCAGGCCUAACACAUGCAAGUCGAACGAGUGGCGGACGGGUGAGUAAUGUCUGGGCAACUGCCCGAUGGAGGGGGCUAACUACUGGAAACGGUAGCUAAUACCGCAUACCAUCGGAUGUGCCCCGAGGGGAUUAGCUAGUAGGUGGGGUAACGGCUCAACUAGGCGACGAUACCUAGCUGAUCUGAGAGGAUGACCGGCCACACGGGAACUGAGACACGGUCCAGACUCCUACGGGAGGCAGCAGUGGGGAAUAUUGGACAAUGGGCGCAAGCCUGAUGCAGCCAUGCCGCGGGUAUGAAGAAGGCCUUCGGGUUGUAAAGUACUUUCAGCGAGGAGGCGGUACUCGCAGAAGAAGCACCGGCUAACUCCGUGCCAGCAGCCGCGGUAAUAC
rnacentral:rRNA from 1 species